UACGUAGGGGGCAAGCGUUGUCCGGAAUUACUGGGCGUAAAGCGCGCGUAGGCGGGUUAUUAAGUCAGGUGUGAAAACCCCGGGCUCAACUUGGGGAGUGCAUCUGAAACUGAUGAUCUUGAGGGCAGGAGAGGAAAGUGGAAUUCCUAGUGUAGCGGUGAAAUGCGUAGAUAUUAGGAGGAACACCAGUGGCGAAGGCGACUUUCUGGCCUGCAACUGACGCUGAGGCGCGAAAGCGUGGGGAGCAAACAGG
rnacentral:rRNA from 1 species